rnacentral:rRNA from 1 species
CAGCAGCCGCGGUAAUACGUAGGGUGCAAGCGUUAAUCGGAAUUACUGGGCGUAAAGCGUGCGCAGGCGGUUAUAUAAGACAGAUGUGAAAUCCCCGGGCUCAACCUGGGAACUGCAUUUGUGACUGUAUAGCUAGAGUACGGCAGAGGGGGAUGGAAUUCCGCGUGUAGCAGUGAAAUGCGUUGAUAUGCGGAGGAACACCGAUGGCGAAGGCAAUCCCCUGGGCCUGUACUGACGCUCAUGCACGAAAGCGUGGGGAGCAAACAGGAUUAGAUACCCCUGUAGUCCCUGUCUCUUAUAC